rnacentral:rRNA from 1 species
UUGGACCUGAUAUCAGACAAGACUACCCGCUGAACUUAAGCAUAUUAAUAAGCGGAGGAAAAGAAACUAACCAGGAUUCCCCUAGUAACGGCGAGUGAAGCGGGAUGAGCUCAAGCUUAAAAUCUCUGUGCCAGUUUGGCAUGGCGAAUUGUAGUCUAUAGAGGCGUUGUCAGUGCGGCUGUGCGGGGUAAGUUCCUUGGAAGAGGACAGCAUCGAGGGUGAUACUCCCGUUUGUACCUGUGCGGCUUGCGCGUACGACACGUUUUCUUCGAGUCGCGUUGUUUGGGACUGCAGCGCAAAGUAGGUGGUAAAUUCCAUCUAAAGCUAAAUAUUGGUGCGAGACCGAUAGCGAACAAGUACCGUGAGGGAAAGAUGAAAAGAACUUUGAAAAGAGAGUUAAAGAGUACCUGAAACUGCUGAAAGGGAAGCGAAUCGUAUCCAGUGUCUAUAAUCUGCGGCAUAUUUCAUUGGCGGCGGUGUGCGUGCUUUUGCGUCGGAAGCGGCUUUUGUUGCUCUGUGCUUUUGCUGUGCGCGCUGUUGCUGGUGCCCUGUGUUGCGGUGGGACGUCAGAGUCAGUUCGUAUGCUGCGGGAAAUGGCCGCCGAGGAGGUAGGUCAGGAUUUCGGUCUUGGCUGUUAUAUCUUGGUGGUUUGUUGUCGUGGUUGGGACUGAGGUGCCUACAAUGUGCUUUUGAGUGUGCCGGGUUCUCAUUUGGUGGACUGUUUGGAUAGCUUGCUAUGCUUGUGGUUUUUUCAUCGAGUGAUUGAGUCUGGUGGUAACUUAUUGCCGUUCGGGACUUUGACGAAAUGGAGCGAUUCGGCCCGUCUUGAAACACGGACCAAGGAGUCUAACAUGUGUGCAAGUGUUAGGGUGUGGAAACCCGAGCGCGUAAUGAAAGUAAAGGGUGGCUUUAGCUGCCUGAGGUAGGAAACCUUUGUUCUCAGAGGUGGCACUAUCGACCGAUCAAGAACCUUCGUGGUGAAAGAUUUGAGUAUGAGCACAUAUGUUGGUACCCGAAAGAUGGUGAACUAUGCCUGAGUAGGGUGAAGCCAGGGGAAACUCUGGUGGAAGCUCGUAGCGAUUCUGACGUGCAAAUCGAUCGUCAAACUUGGGUAUAGGGGCGAAAGACUAAUCGAACCAUCUAGUAGCUGGUUCCCUCCGAAAUUUCCCUCAGGAUAGCAGCAACUUAUUUACGAUAGUUUUAUGAGGUAAAGCGAAUGAUUAGAGGACUGGGGGAAGCAACUUCCUCCACCUAUUCUCAAACUUUAAAUCUGUAAGACCUGCAGGUUUCUUAAUUGAACUUGUGGAUGUGAAUAUCAAGUUGCUAGUGGGCCAUACGGGGUAAGCUCGUCUGGCGAUGCGGGAUGAUCCGAACGCAAAGUUAAAGUGCCAAAAUACCCGCUCACCUAGAUCCCAUAAAAGGUGUUGGUUCAUUUAGACAGCAGGACGGUGGCCAUGGAAGUCGGAAUCCGCUAAGGAGUGUGUAACAAC